AGGGUUGUGGCUCAGUGGUAGAGCACUUGCCAAGCAUGGGGCACUGGGUUCAAUCCCAGCACCACAU
rnacentral:tRNA from 1 species